GAUGAACGCUGGCGGCGUGCCUAAUACAUGCAAGUCGAGCGAACCACUUCGGUGGUGAGCGGCGAACGGGUGAGUAACACGUAGGUGAUCUGCCCAUCAGACGGGGACAACGAUUGGAAACGAUCGCUAAUACCGGAUAGGACGAAAGUUUUAAGGUGCUUCUGGCACCGCUGAUGGAUGAGCCCGCGGCGCAUUAGCUAGUUGGUAGGGUAAAGGCCUACCAAGGCGACGAUGCGUAGCCGACCUGAGAGGGUGAACGGCCACACUGGGACUGAGACACGGCCCAGACUCCUACGGGAGGCAGCAGUAGGGAAUCUUCGGCAAUGGGCGAAAGCCUGAUCGAGCAACGCCGCGUGAAUGAUGAAGGCCUUCGGGUUGUAAAAUUCUGUUAUAAGGGAAGAACGACUUUAGUAGGAAAUGGCUAGAGUGUGACGGUACCUUAUGAGAAAGCCACGGCUAACUACGUGCCAGCCGCCGCGGUAA
rnacentral:rRNA from 1 species